rnacentral:rRNA from 1 species
GGUUAAGCGACUAAGCGUACACGGUGGAUGCCCUGGCAGUCAGAGGCGAUGAAGGACGUGCUAAUCUGCGAUAAGCGUCGGUAAGGUGAUAUGAACCGUUAUAACCGGCGAUUUCCGAAUGGGGAAACCCAGUGUGAUUCGUCACACUAUCAUUACGUGAAUACAUAGCGUAAUGAAGCGAACCGGGGGAACUGAAACAUCUAAGUACCCCGAGGAAAAGAAAUCAACCGAGAUUCCCCCAGUAGCGGCGAGCGAACGGGGAGCAGCCCAGAGUCUGAAUCAGCUUGUGUGUUAGUGGAACGGUCUGGAAAGUCCGACGGUACAGGGUGAUAGUCCCGUACACCAAAAUGCACAGGUUGUGAACUCGAAGAGUAGGGCGGGACACGUGGUAUCCUGUCUGAAUAUGGGGGGACCAUCCUCCAAGGCUAAAUACUCCUGACUGACCGAUAGUGAACCAGUACCGUGAGGGAAAGGCGAAAAGAACCCCGGCGAGGGGAGUGAAAAAGAACCUGAAACCGUGUACGUACAAGCAGUGGGAGCACCUUCGGGUGUGACUGCGUACCUUUUGUAUAAUGGGUCAGCGACUUAUAUUCUGUAGCAAGGUUAACCGUAUAGGGGAGCCGAAGGGAAACCGAGUCUUAACUGGGCGUUAAGUUGCAGGGUAUAGACCCGAAACCCGGUGAUCUAGCCAUGGGCAGGUUGAAGGUUGGGUAACACUAACUGGAGGACCGAACCGACUAAUGUUGAAAAAUUAGCGGAUGACUUGUGGCUGGGGGUGAAAGGCCAAUCAAACCGGGAGAUAGCUGGUUCUCCCCGAAAGCUAUUUAGGUAGCGCCUCGUGAACUCAUCUUCGGGGGUAGAGCACUGUUUCGGCUAGGGGGUCAUCCCGACUUACCAACCCGAUGCAAACUGCGAAUACCGAAGAAUGUUAUCACGGGAGACACACGGCGGGUGCUAACGUCCGUCGUGAAGAGGGAAACAACCCAGACCGCCAGCUAAGGUCCCAAAGUCAUGGUUAAGUGGGAAACGAUGUGGGAAGGCACAGACAGCCAGGAUGUUGGCUUAGAAGCAGCCAUCAUUUAAAGAAAGCGUAAUAGCUCACUGGUCGAGUCGGCCUGCGCGGAAGAUGUAACGGGGCUAAACCAUGCACCGAAGCUGCGGCAGCGACACUAUGUGUUGUUGGGUAGGGGAGCGUUCUGUAAGCCGUUGAAGGUGUGUCGUGAGGCAUGCUGGAGGUAUCAGAAGUGCGAAUGCUGACAUAAGUAACGAUAAUGCGGGUGAAAAACCCGCACGCCGGAAGACCAAGGGUUCCUGUCCAACGUUAAUCGGGGCAGGGUGAGUCGACCCCUAAGGCGAGGCCGAAAGGCGUAGUCGAUGGGAAACAGGUUAAUAUUCCUGUACUUGGUGUUACUGCGAAGGGGGGACGGAGAAGGCUAUGUUGGCCGGGCGACGGUUGUCCCGGUUUAAGCAUGUAGGCGGAGGUUCCAGGUAAAUCCGGUACCUUUUAACGCUGAGGUGUGAUGACGAGGCACUACGGUGCUGAAGUGACAAAUGCCCUGCUUCCAGGAAAAGCCUCUAAGCAUCAGGUAACACGAAAUCGUACCCCAAACCGACACAGGUGGUCAGGUAGAGAAUACCAAGGCGCUUGAGAGAACUCGGGUGAAGGAACUAGGCAAAAUGGUGCCGUAACUUCGGGAGAAGGCACGCUGAUAUGUAGGUGAAGCGGUUUACCCGUGGAGCUGAAAUCAGUCGAAGAUACCAGCUGGCUGCAACUGUUUAUUAAAAACACAGCACUGUGCAAACACGAAAGUGGACGUAUACGGUGUGACGCCUGCCCGGUGCCGGAAGGUUAAUUGAUGGGGUUAUCCGUAAGGAGAAGCUCUUGAUCGAAGCCCCGGUAAACGGCGGCCGUAACUAUAACGGUCCUAAGGUAGCGAAAUUCCUUGUCGGGUAAGUUCCGACCUGCACGAAUGGCGUAAUGAUGGCCAGGCUGUCUCCACCCGAGACUCAGUGAAAUUGAACUCGCUGUGAAGAUGCAGUGUACCCGCGGCAAGACGGAAAGACCCCGUGAACCUUUACUAUAGCUUGACACUGAACACUGGUCCUUGAUGUGUAGGAUAGGUGGGAGGCUUUGAAGCGUGGACGCCAGUCUGCGUGGAGCCAACCUUGAAAUACCACCCUUUAAUGGCUGGUGUUCUAACGUUGACCCGUAAUCCGGGUUGCGGACAGUGUCUGGUGGGUAGUUUGACUGGGGCGGUCUCCUCCUAAAGAGUAACGGAGGAGCACGAAGGUUAGCUAAUCCUGGUCGGACAUCAGGAGGUUAGUGCAAAGGCAUAAGCUAGCUUGACUGCGAGAGUGACGGCUCGAGCAGGUGCGAAAGCAGGUCUUAGUGAUCCGGUGGUUCUGAAUGGAAGGGCCAUCGCUCAACGGAUAAAAGGUACUCCGGGGAUAACAGGCUGAUACCGCCCAAGAGUUCAUAUCGACGGCGGUGUUUGGCACCUCGAUGUCGGCUCAUCACAUCCUGGGGCUGAAGUAGGUCCCAAGGGUAUGGCUGUUCGCCAUUUAAAGUGGUACGCGAGCUGGGUUUAGAACGUCGUGAGACAGUUCGGUCCCUAUCUGCCGUGGGCGCUGGAGAAUUGAGGGGGGCUGCUCCUAGUACGAGAGGACCGGAGUGGACGCAUCACUGGUGUUCGGGUUGUCAUGCCAAUGGCACUGCCCGGUAGCUAAAUGCGGAAGAGAUAAGUGCUGAAAGCAUCUAAGCACGAAACUUGCCCCGAGAUGAGUUCUCCCUGAGACUUUAAGUCUCCUGAAGGAACGUUAAAGACGAUGACGUUGAUAGGUCGGGUGUGUAAGCGUAGCGAUACGUUGAGCUAACCGAUACUAAUGAACCGUGAGGCUUAACCUU